rnacentral:rRNA from 1 species
UUCGCAAUGCCCGAAAGGGUGACGAAGCGACGCCGCGUGGGGGAAGAAGGCCUUCGGGUUGUAAACCCCUGUCAGGAGUUAGGAAGUGCAGGGCGUGAAUAACGUCCUGCUUGACGAAAGCUUCAGAGGAAGUCAUGGCUAACUCUGUGCCAGCAGCCGCGGUAAUACAGAGAUGGCAAGCGUUGUUCGGAAUCACUGGGCGUAAAGGGCACGUAGGCGGCUUAGCAAGUCGGGUGUGAAAGCCCCUGGCUCAAACAGGGAACUGCGCCUGAAACUGCUAGGCUUGAGGAUAGGAGGGGAGAGUGGAACUUCUGGUGGAGCGGUGAAAUGCGUAGAUAUCAGAAGGAACGCCGGUGGCGAAAGCGGCUCUCUGGCCUAUCCCUGACGCUGAGGUGCGAAAGCUAGGGGAGCAAACGGGAUUAGAUACCCCGGUAGUCCUAGCCGUAAACGAUGGGCACUAAGUAGAGGGGUUUU